UACGUAGGGUGCAAGCGUUAAUCGGAUUCACUGGGUUUAAAGGGUGCGUAGGCGGACAUGUAAGUCCGUGGUGAAAUCUCCGAGCUUAACUCGGAAACUGCCAUGGAUACUAUAUGUCUUGAAUGUUGUGGAGGUUAGCGGAAUAUGUCAUGUAGCGGUGAAAUGCAUAGAUAUGACAUAGAACACCAAUUGCGAAGGCAGCUGGCUACACAAAUAUUGACGCUGAGGCACGAAAGCGUGGGGAUCAAACAGC
rnacentral:rRNA from 1 species